UGUUGGUUUAACGAUUUUUUUUUAUUAUUUUGAAAGUUGAAAAGUUAACGUGAAGUUAACGGAACCGUUAACUUAAAGAAAACAAAACCUAUUUCCUUAACCCUAACCGAUUUACUCAAACUAUGGGAUCUUGUGAAAAAUCAGAGUUUAAUUAGUCAAAUAUUCCAAAGCUUCUCCUUCGCAACAAUUAUGAGAAAGAUUAAUUAGUCUUUGCCAAACUUUGAGAUUGAUGGAGUUUUAAUCAAAUAAAUAAAUUGGUUAAAUUUUAUGGAGCAGAUAACAUCUUGAAGGAUCUAAUGAGGCUCGCACAAUGACCGAUAAAAUGAAGAUAUCGUGUUUAAGCAAUACCUAUAAUCAGAGAAGAGAAGAAAAGGUAUCUCCGGCGAGAAAAUUUUAUCAAAAUGGAGUUGAUUUUGUUCAACCACAGGCAGCGAAACCAGCUGGAAUGGUUGUUGCAUUGAAGAUUAGGGUGUGAAUUGUUGGGUAGAAGAUGAACUCAUCACUGGAGGUUCUUCAAAGCAGAAUGUUGGAGUUUGGCAGUCUCCUGAAACUUCGUCUAAACACAAACGACGAGUCUUUAAAAAAGAAUGUAAGUUAUGAAUGAAAGAUAUAAUCGCUGCAUAUUCCCCGAAUCAAUAUCUAAUUAUUUUAGUGUUGUUUUUAUAGAUCUACAGUGCAACAUAUGAUGUGUGAUUUUGGAGAUUGUUCUAAUAUGGUGGAUUUUUUUUUCUUGAGUUAAUAUUAAAGAUGUGUGAUUUUGGAGAUUGUUCUAAUAUGGUGGAUUUUUUUUUUCUUGAGUUAAUAUUAAAGGCUGGUUGAACUUUAUAAUUUCAUCAGAACCUGCCUACAAUGCAUAAUAUUGUUCAUCUUUAGUUGAAAUUUUGUUAUUUGUCUUAUUUCAAUUUUGUUGGCAGUAAUUUCAAACCAUAUUUUAUAUUUCAAGAGUCCAAUUUUUGUGCCCAUAGUAUAUUACUAUGGACAAUGAACUAGGAACAGUGAUAAUGUUUUUUUUUUUUUUUUUUUUUAAUUAAAUAAGGAAGUUUGUGUUACUUUGAAUCAAAAGUCUCAAGUAUAAUUUUUUAUUCAAUUUACAGAUAUAAUUUUUUGCACAAAGAAAAUGAUUUUGUGAAAAUCUCAUCUUUGAUUCUAGAGAUAGUUGCAUUUAUGGUUUCUCAAAAGAUUCUGUUCCGAGCUCUGAUCACGACUUUCUUCAUGAGCCCCACAGAUCAAGCAUUCUUUCACUAUUAUAACAUCAAAGAAAUAUAAUGCA